AUGACGUCAAUCAUCAUGCCCCUUAUGACCUGGGCUACACACGUGCUACAAUGGCUGGUACAACGAGUCGCAAGCCGGUGACGGCAAGCUAAUCUCUUAAAGCCAGUCUCAGUUCGGAUUGUAGGCUGCAACUCGCCUACAUGAAGUCGGAAUCGCUAGUAAUCGCGGAUCAGCACGCCGCGGUGAAUACGUUCCCGGGCCUUGUACACACCGCCCGUCACACCACGAGAGUUUGUAACACCCGAAGUCGGUGAGGUAACCUUUUAGG
rnacentral:rRNA from 1 species